rnacentral:rRNA from 1 species
UACGGGGGGAGCAAGCGUUGUUCGGAUUUACUGGGCGUAAAGGGCGCGUAGGCGGCCAGCACAAGUCAGUUGUGAAAUCUCCGAGCUUAACUCGGAACGGUCAACUGAUACUGUGCGGCUAGAGUGCAGAAGGGGCAACUGGAAUUCUUGGUGUAGCGGUGAAAUGCGUAGAUAUCAAGAGGAACACCUGCGGCGAAGGCGGGUUGCUGGGCUGACACUGACGCUGAGACGCGAAAGCGUGGGGAGCAAACAGG